ACAGAGGCGGCAAGCGUUGUUCGGAUUUACUGGGCGUAAAGGGUGCGUAGGUGGCUAUGUGUGUCGGAUGUGAAAGCUCACAGCUUAACUGUGGAAUGGCAUCCGAAACUACAUGGCUAGAGUACAGGAGAGGAGAGCGGAAUUCUUGGUGUAGCGGUGAAAUGCGUAGAUAUCAAGAGGAACACCGGUGGCGAAGGCGGCUCUCUGGACUGAUACUGACACUGAGGCACUAAAGCUAGGGGAGCAAACAG
rnacentral:rRNA from 1 species